ensembl:lncRNA
AUGAAUAUGUAUGAAGGACUCGUUACUACUGAAUGUUUAGUUCAGCUCUACACCAAUCUGCCCUUCAACCAGUCUACACCUCUACACCUCUACACCAAUCUGCCCUUCCCCCUGUCUUCACCUCUACACCUCUACACCAAUCUGCCCUUCCCCCUGUCUUCACCUCUACACCUCUACACCAAUCUGCCCUUCCCCCUGUCUUCACCUCUACACCUCUACACCAAUCUGCCCUUCCCCCAGUCUUCACCUCUACUCCUCUACACCAAUCUGUCCUUCCCUCUGUCUACACCUCUACACCUCUACACCAAUCUGCCCUUCCCCCAGUCUUCACCUCUACACCUCUACACCAAUCUGUCCUUCCCCCUGUCUUCACCUCUAUACCUCUACACCAAUCUGUCCUUCCCUCUGUCUUCACCUCUACAGCUCUACACCAAUCUGUCCUUCCCCCAGUCUUCACCUCUACACCUCUACACCCCUACACCAAUCUGUCCUUCCCCCAGUCUUCACCUUAUCACCUCUACACCAAUCUGUCCUUCCCACAGUCUUCACCUCUACUCCUCUACACCAAUCUGCCCUUCCCCCAGUCUACACCUCUACACCUCUACACCAAUCUGCCCUUCCCCCAGUCUUCACCUCUACACCUCUACACCCCUACACCAAUCUGCCCUUCCCCCAGUCUACACCUCUACACCUCUACACCAAUCUGUCCUUCCCCCAGUCUUCACCUCUACACCUCUACACCAAUCUGCCCUUCCCCCAGUCUUCACCUCUACACCUCUACACCAAUCUGCCCUUCCCCCAGUCUUCACCUCUACACCAAUCUGCCCUUCCCCCAGUCUUCACCUCUACACCUCUACACCAAUCUGCCCUUCCCCCAGUCUUCACCUCUACACCUCUACACCAAUCUGUCCUUCCCCCAGUCUUCACCUCUACACCUCUACACCAAUCUGCCCUUCCCUCUGUCUUCACCUCUACACCAAUCUGCCCUUCUCUCUGUCUUCACCUCUACACCUCUACACCAAUCUGCCCUUCCCUCUGUCUUCACCUCUACACCUCUACACCAAUCUGCCCUUCCCCCUGUCUUCACCUCUACACCUCUACACCCCUACACCAAUCUGCCCUUCCCUCUGUCUUCACCUCUACACCUCUACACCAAUCUGCCCUUCCCCCUGUCUUCACCUCUACACCUCUACACCCCUACACCAAUCUGCCCUUCCCUCUGUCUUCACCUCUACACCUCUACACCAAUCUGCCCUUCCCCCUGUCUUCACCUCUACACCUCUACACCCCUACACCAAUCUGCCCUUCAACCAGGCUUCACCUCUACACCUCUACACCCCUACACCAAUCUGCCCUUCCCCCUGUCUUCACCUCUACACCUCUACACCAAUCUGCCCUUCCCCCUAUCUUCACCUCUACACCUCUACACCAAUCUGCCCUUCCCCCUGUCUUCACCUCUACACCUCUACACCAAUCUGCCCUUCCCCCUAUCUUCACCUCUACACCAAUCUGCCCUUCCCCCAGUUUUCACCUCUACACCUCUACACCCCUACACCAAUCUGCCCUUCCCCCUGUCUUCACCUCUACACCUCUACACCAAUCUGCCCUUCCCCCUGUCUUCACCUCUACACCUCUACACCCCUACACCAAUCUGCCCUUCCCCCUGUCUUCACCUCUACACCUCUACACCAAUCUGCCCUUCCCCCUAUCUUCACCUCUACACCAAUCUGCCCUUCCCCCUAUCUUCACCUCUACACCAAUCUGCCCUUCCCCCAGUUUUCACCUCUACACCUCUACACCCCUACACCAAUCUGCCCUUCCCCCUAUCUUCACCUCUACACCUCUACACCAAUCUGCCCUUCCCCCUGUCUUCACCUCUACACCUCUACACCCCUACACCAAUCUGUCCUUCCCCCAGUCUUCACCUCUACACCUCUACACCAAUCUGCCCUUCCCCCAGUCUUCACCUCUACACCUCUACACCAAUCUGCCCUUCCCCCAGUCUUCACCUCUACACCAAUCUGCCCUUCCCCCAGUCUUCACCUCUACACCUCUACACCAAUCUGCCCUUCCCCCAGUCUUCACCUCUACACCUCUACACCAAUCUGUCCUUCCCCCAGUCUUCACCUCUACACCUCUACACCAAUCUGCCCUUCCCUCUGUCUUCACCUCUACACCAAUCUGCCCUUCUCUCUGUCUUCACCUCUACACCUCUACACCAAUCUGCCCUUCCCUCUGUCUUCACCUCUACACCUCUACACCAAUCUGCCCUUCCCCCUGUCUUCACCUCUACACCUCUACACCCCUACACCAAUCUGCCCUUCCCUCUGUCUUCACCUCUACACCUCUACACCAAUCUGCCCUUCCCCCUGUCUUCACCUCUACACCUCUACACCCCUACACCAAUCUGCCCUUCAACCAGGCUUCACCUCUACACCUCUACACCCCUACACCAAUCUGCCCUUCCCCCUGUCUUCACCUCUACACCUCUACACCAAUCUGCCCUUCCCCCUAUCUUCACCUCUACACCUCUACACCAAUCUGCCCUUCCCCCUGUCUUCACCUCUACACCUCUACACCAAUCUGCCCUUCCCCCUAUCUUCACCUCUACACCAAUCUGCCCUUCCCCCAGUUUUCACCUCUACACCUCUACACCCCUACACCAAUCUGCCCUUCCCCCUGUCUUCACCUCUACACCUCUACACCAAUCUGCCCUUCCCCCUGUCUUCACCUCUACACCUCUACACCCCUACACCAAUCUGCCCUUCCCCCUGUCUUCACCUCUACACCUCUACACCAAUCUGCCCUUCCCCCUAUCUUCACCUCUACACCAAUCUGCCCUUCCCCCAGUUUUCACCUCUACACCUCUACACCCCUACACCAAUCUGCCCUUCCCCCUGUCUUCACCUCUACACCUCUACACCAAUCUGCCCUUCCCCCUGUCUUCACCUCUACACCUCUACACCCCUACACCAAUCUGCCCUUCCCCCUGUCUUCACCUCUACACCUCUACACCAAUCUGCCCUUCCCCCUAUCUUCACCUCUACACCAAUCUGCCCUUCCCCCUGUCUUCACCUCUACACCUCUACACCAAUCUGCCCUUCCCCCUAUCUUCACCUCUACACCAAUCUGCCCUUCCCCCUGUCUUCACCUCUACACCUCUACACCAAUCUGCCCUUCCCCCAGUCUUCACCUCUACACCUCUACACCCCUACACCAAUCUGCCCUUCCCCCAGUCUUCACCUCUAUAGGUGA